GCAGUCGAGCGACAGAUAGGAGCUUGCUCCUUUGACGUUAGCGGCGGACGGGUGAGUAACACGUGGAUAACCUACCUAUAAGACUGGGAUAACUUCGGGAAACCGGAGCUAAUACCGGAUAAGAUUUUGAACCGCAUGGUUCAAUAGUGAAAGACGGCCUUGCUGUCACUUAUAGAUGGAUCCGCGCCGUAUUAGCUAGUUGGUAAGGUAACGGCUUACCAAGGCAACGAUACGUAGCCGACCUGAGAGGGUGAUCGGCCACACUGGAACUGAGACACGGUCCAGACUCCUACGGGAGGCAGCAGUAGGGAAUCUUCCGCAAUGGGCGAAAGCCUGACGGAGCAACGCCGCGUGAGUGAUGAAGGUCUUCGGAUCGUAAAACUCUGUUAUCAGGGAAGAACAAACGUGUAAGUAACUGUGCACGUCUUGACGGUACCUGAUCAGAAAGCCACGGCUAACUACGUGCCAGCAGCCGCGGUAAUACGUAGGUGGCAAGCGUUAUCCGGAAUUAUUGGGCGUAAAGCGCGCGUAGGCGGUUUUUUUAAGUCUGAUGUGAAACCCCACGGCUCAACCGUGGAGGGUCAUUGGAAACUGAAAACUUGAGUGCAAAAGAGAAAGUGAAUUCCGUGUG
rnacentral:rRNA from 1 species